ACCCAGAUUCUUAACUGAUGCCAGAGAAAAAUGCAUUUUUUGUCAUAUACAUCGAUAUAAUUUGGUUCACUGUGUAGAUAUCUUCGGAUAAUGUGGCCUUUGCUCAUGCUUUCUUGGUUGUGUUUCCACUGUUUCAUAACCGUUUUCCUCUAACAACAAUGUAACAUUUCCGAUGCAUACAUGUGAUUUUCUCGGAAUUCGAAGGUCAAUCUUAUAAUCACGGAUUACUGUAUGUCCGGAAUGACAGGCUUCGAGCUGCUCAAGAAGGUGAAGGUACAGAACGUUACCUCGUUUCCUGAAAAGUCCAGAGCUUUCUCGAUGCUUCCUACAAUAAUCUCUUUGUUUCCAUGAUUUUGAUUUUCCGGCAGCAGAGUCAUCCGGUCUGAAGGAGGUUCCAGUUCUGAUCAUGUCCUCAGAAAACAUCCCUACUUGUAUCAAAUGUUUAGAGAGUGGAGCUCAGAUGUUCAUGCCGAAACGGCUGAAGCUCUCAGAAGUAAAGUCUCUGAAGUGCAAUCUGAUGAACUGCAGAAGCUGGCAGUUUACUAGGAAAAAGAUCAGAUGCAGAAAACUGAUAAAGUGAGAAAGGAUGUUAUUAUUAUCACUAUUAUCUUGAAUCAACAUAAUGACUCUAUUGAUUGGUAAACUUCUUCUCUUCCCCUACCUAUAUGCAACCGCAUCAGAAAUCUUGUAAUCUCAGAUAAAUUAUUGUC